UGGGUGCGUAAACUGCUUUUGUACGAGAAGAACACCCUACUCGGUAGGGUCUGACGGUAUCGUACGAAUAAGCGACCGGCUAACGUCCGUGCCAGCAGCCGCGGUAAUACUGGAGGGUCCAAGCGUUGUCCGGAAUCACUGGGUGUAAAGGGUGCGCAGGCGGGCGUGUAAGUCAGGGGUGAAAGCCAUCGGCCUAACCGGUGAAUUGCCUUUGAUACUGCACGUCUUGAGUCCUGGAUAGGCUAUCGGAAUUCGUGGUGCCCCGGUGAAAUGCGUAGAUAUCACGAGUAACGCCGGAAGCGUAAGCCGAUAGCUGGACACGUACUGACGCUCAGGCACGAAAGCGUGGUGGAGCGAACAGGAUUAGAUACCCUGGUAGUCCACGCCGUAAACGAUGAAUGCUCGAUGCUGCGCCGCUUUAGGCGCAGYUGUCCAAGCUAACGCGUUAAGCAUUCCACCUGGGGAGUACGAUCGCAAGGUUGAAACUCAAUGAAUUGACGGGA
rnacentral:rRNA from 1 species